UUUAUUUUUUACCGCAAAAAAAAGGGAAAUUUUUUUUUUGACGCAAGAAUUUUUUUUAUUAUGAACACGAUCCAUUAUGUUUUCUUCAACCUUCCAAACCUUCUAUCGUCUUCUUCCUUUGCUUCUUCCUUCUUUCAAGUGCUUCUUCUCCUUGCUUGUUCGGCGUCUUUUAUUGCUUCAUCAAUCUUUGCAUUACUUGUUUAGAAAAUAAAUUGUUAAAUAGAACUUAGGUGCUUCUCUAUCUCUCUUUUCGAUUGUUUGCUUUCAUCAAAACUGGACUCGGAAAACAAGAAAUUGAAACCUGGUCAUCUUGGACACAUCAAAUCGAAACCGAAUUCACGAAAUCAAAACCGGACGAAAUUGAAACUAAAGUCAAAACCGAAAUCGAAUGAAAUUGUGGCGGNNNNNNNNNNNNNNNNNNNNNNNNNNNNNUUUGGAUGAAACUGACUUUGUUAAGUUGCCGGACUUUGUUUGAAAUUGGUAGUGAUGAAGUUGUUGGUGAUAGUGAUGAAGAUGAUGUUCAUCAUUUUCUAACAAUUAAUUUUGAUUUGUUGUUGUUCUGGUUGUUGUUGUUGAAGAUGAAGAUAUGGGUUUUGUAGAUGAAGAUGAAAG
rnacentral:lncRNA from 1 species